CUCUCCCUCUCCCCCUCACACCUCCACCAGCCUCUCGCCGGAAUCCACUCCGGACCCGUCGACCAACUCUUCGGCCCCCACCCCCUCGGAGAUUGCCCCCAGUCAGGCCAGUCGCCCGAUCCCCCAGGAGGCAGGACGUUCUAAGUCCCAGAGAUGGUGUGAUGACGUUAUUGAUGGUGACUCAUCGGGAGGAUCCUCCUCUGCUUAUCAUUCCUAUAAAGAAGCUCUCCUUCAACCUUCUGGUCAUGGUGGUAACGCCCCUGCUCCCCCUAUUCCCCACUUGAAGACGAAAGCUGGUGACCAGUCAGAGGUGCAAGGGUCUUCUGCUGAAAGUCGACGUCGAAAGGAGGAUGGCUGGCAGGUGGUUGAGCAUAGGAGGCGCCACCUUCCUCGUCGAGGAUCCAUAGUGGAUCUCCGAGGGAAGUGCUACAAGUGCCUUUCUACCUCCCACCUGGUAGCUUCCUGCCGACGUCCUACGAGGUGCUAUCGCUGCUUCAAGUUUGGCCAUCAAGCGGCAAGGUGCCCCUUGCCGGAAGCUGGGCGAAAGACAGUGUGGCAGCGGCUGGGCUCUGGUGGAGAUCGUACUCCGGUGUGGCUGCGUUUGUCUGGAGUGGACAAUUCUGGCCCAACGGUGAUGGAUCGUCCAGUCAUUCAGCGCAAGGCCCCAGUCUGGCGAAGGCUUUCCCCUCCAGUGAACUCCCCAUUAGUGGAAAAAGAAGCACAGGGUGGCAUGCUUCUGCCUGUUGGACGUAUGAAGAAGAAGAGAAGACGUUCUAAACGCGGGAAAGGCAGCUCGGGACUGCAGUCGGGCCCAAGUCAGCCGCAUCCCAAUCCCCCUGUUGCUGUCCAGAGCGCCUUGCCGCGGAAACCUUCCUGCGUAUUGGAGUUUUCCACUGAUUUGGCAAGAAAGGAAGCUGCUCUUCGGAGAGCCUUGUUUGUUUCGGUGGUUGGCACCAGGCCGAUGGUUCGCGGGGAUGAGGUGAUUGAGGAAUUGGCGCGAAGUUUCAGCAUCAACCCUGAUGAUAUGUCUAUCCAGCAGGCCACGCCGGAAGAUUUCCUACUAUUCCUGCCUGAUGAACACACAGCGACCCAAAUUCUUAACGAAGGACGACCUUUCAGAGGCCCUGGAUUUUCUCUCAAUUUUAAAAGAUGGACAAGAUUCUCUCAUGCCUCGACGACGUCUAUGGCGGCACUGGUUGAUAUUGAGAUUCGAGGAAUUCCAGCUCAUGCUUGGGAUAUCUCCACGGCAAAAAUGUUACUACAGGAUUCGUGCUGGGUUUUGGAAUUGUUAAGGGAUUCAGGAACAGCAUUUCUGCUACGCGCCUGGUGUUUUGACCCAAAAUAUCUGCAUUCAGAAAUGGAACUUCAUAUCGUCGAGCCGGGCAGUGAUGAGCAGAAGAAACGAUGUUUGACAUACAACAUUUCCAUGACAGUGUCAUCGGUGCCCUUUCAGAUGACCAAUAGCACUGAAACUCUAUCCCCUUCCUCUGACGAUGGUCAGUUUGAUGAAGGAAAUGACAGUGAUCCAGCUGACUCCCAGCAGCGCCGCCUUCCACCUCAGCCACCUAGGGAAUCUGUUCACCUUCGGAUAGGCGCCCAGUUUGUGUCUGGAAGGAGUAGGGCGCUGUGUUCGGUUGAGGAAGCUGAAAGGAUGGGCUUAGGCGCCUCUUCGGGACUUAAUGCACAACAUUCAAUGCGGCCCCUUGAAGAUUGCCCGACCUGGGGAGAUGAGAUGGGAAUGCAGCUGGUCUGUGGCGCCUCGGGUCCUUCCAGGCAGAUAUGUGGCGCCUUGGGUCCUUCCAGGCGGAUAUGCGGCCAGCCGUCCAUUGAUGCUUGCGUUGCCCAAUUAAAUAACGCACAGCUCGAUGCUCGGGC
rnacentral:misc_RNA from 1 species